rnacentral:tRNA from 1 species
AAAAUCCGUCGACUUUAAAAUUCGUGAGGGUUCAAGUCCCUCUAUCCCCA